UUCUUUUGAAAGACCCCCGAAGGGAGACCCUCACUCAUGCCUCGGGAUGUGGCGCGGACCCAAGAGAGACGCGGAGACCA
rnacentral:pre_miRNA from 7 species